UACAGAGGGUGCAAGCGUUAAUCGGAUUUACUGGGCGUAAAGCGUGCGUAGGCGGUUCAUUAAGUCGGUUGUGAAAUCCCUGGGCUUAACCUGGGAACUGCAGUCGAUACUGGUGAACUAGAAUGCGGUAGAGGGUGGCGGAACUCCGGGUGUAGCGGUGAAAUGCGUAGAGAUGUGGAGGAAUACCGAUGGCGAAGGCAGCCUCCUGGGCCAACACUGACGCUCAUGCACGAAAGCGUGGGGAGCAAACAGG
rnacentral:rRNA from 1 species